GUGCUCUGUAGUGGGGAAGAUUUGUUUUCUCCUAUUUCUUAAUUUCAUAUUUCUUGAUACAAGCAAAUAAUCAUUGAUGGUGAUGAUGAUAUGUAGGAUUUUUCUACGGUACACCUAAGGAUAUUUGAGUCUUUUUAUCAUUAUCCUAUCCCUAUCCAUCCGACUUAACAUGGACAACUUAGAUUUGUCUACUGGUGACUGGUUGUAGCCGGUUACAUGCAUGGCUGGUGCGGUAAAUAUAUUAACUUUCAAGGUUAUUUUAAUAUUGAAGAGGAUGGCAAAUUUAGUAAUUCUCUCGAACUCCAUGGCCUUUUCUCAAACAACCUUCACUCUCAGCCCUGUUUGUUGAUGCCUAGGAGGGUUAUGCAAGGAGGAAGAGGAGUACUAUCAUGUUAGGAGGAGGAGGAGCAGAUCUCCCGAGGCUUGGGUGGUGGAUGGCAGUGGUGGUGGCUACAUUGUCACUAGAGAGGAAGGGUAGGGAGGAGGCAAGCUAGGAGGAGGAAGAGGCGGCAAUGCUAAAGAGGGAGGGGAGAAGGGUGUGGAGGUGGCGGAGGAGGUAGGCAGGGAGGAAGCUCUUGCCAAAAUUUCCGUAGAAUUUGAUCCUUAAAGAAGGGUGGAGAGGAGGGAGGACAUUGAUCCUAGCCUACCAUCACCGAGCUUGCCCUCCUCUCUCAUUCCCUCAUCGAGAUGCGCCACCAAAGUGCGAUGGAGUCGUGAUUCGAGGACCUCACAGUCCUCAACCUCUCGAUGUACAAGCAAGUUCUCCUCAUUGGUCUCCUUCGCCACCUCCACUCCCUCCUCUUCUCCCUCUCUGGUGUCGCCACCUCUUCCUCCUCGCCUGUCCUUUCCAGUGCUACCACCCACCGCUUAUGUUGUCGGAGCACAAAAGGCAUCAAGGCCAAGAGACUAUGGAGCUUGGUCAUGUGAGUUCAUGCACCUCUUCCUCCACUCAAAGCCUAAGGGUAAGACCAAAGGUGUUUAUCAUCAGUAGAGUCAAGCAAUCUCAUGGAAGGAUUCUGGCACGGGAGCUGCAGUAUCAGGCUCUCCUUCGAUCUGAAUUGCAGAACAAUGUUGAAGCAGAUCGUUGAGAAUGAAGCAUGCACAAACUAGAGGACAACCUGGUUGACUGCCGCAGCUGAAUCCUUGUCACAACACCAGAUCUCAGGGAAGAGGCCAGGGGUGUGGAAUUCGAGGAUGACCACGAUAGCUCUCAGGAGCAGACUUGCAGACGAGUGAGACCAGCUAUGAAGGCCUUGGGACUGAAUCUCAUCAGUCUUUUGCUGGGUCCUCCAGGUUCAAGUUAUCGACGAAUUUGAGAUGCUCAACUAAAAUGGAUGAACACAUAUGUUUAGUUUUGGUUCUUUUUUUGUUAUUUAACAAUAGACUAUAAGUAGAAAUUUGAAUGAUAAUUAUUAUAUUUCAUGAUUUCUUUUUUUUUUUUGAGAACAAUGUGAAUGCAUUUCAUCCAAUACAUUUACCAUAAUGCGCA